UGGUCUGAUGAGUUCUUCCUGAACUUUAAUGUGCAGUAGAAUCAUCCAGGAUCUUGCUAAAAGGAGGAUUCUGACUCAGGAGGUUGCAGGUGGAGCCUGGAGUUCUGCAUUUCUAACAAGCUUCAGUGUGAUGCUGCUGCUGCUGUCUUGCAGACCACACGUUGAGAAAAUAGUGCUUACUUCCCUUCUAAAUACAUCCUGUUAGUCUGAGUCCUUCUCUUGACCCCAACCCAACUGCAAAGAGAUUGAGAAACUAUGUGCCCAGGAAGAGGCAUUAUUUUUGUCCCAUGAAACUGCAGUAAGCAGCAGUAUGAAGUCAGGGUUGGAAAUGAUCUUUAAGGCUGAAUGGUUACCAUGGUAGGCUAACAGGCCACCCCACCCACCCCAAUUGUCCACAUCUUAAUUCUCUUAGUCAGCUACAUUCCCUUACAUGAGAAAGGACUCUGGACAUUUGAUUGAGGAUCUUGAGAUGGGAAGACUAUCCUGUAUGAUCUGGAUAGGUCCAAUGUAAUCAUCUGGGUCCUUACAAAAGGGAGAUGCAUGAGGGUCAUAAUAGGGACAUAAUAGGGGAGACCAUGUGACAACAGAAGAAGAGAAAUUAUGGUGAUGGAAGCAGAGGUUGGAGUGAUCCUAUACCUGGAAGGGGGCCACAAGCCAAGGAAUGCAGGUGGCCUCAAAGAAUCUGGAAAAGGAAGCUUCCAGCUUCCAGAAGGAAUGCAGCUCUACCAACACCAUGAUUUCAACACAAUGGGGCUGAGAAAAUCAAAUAACAUGAAUGAGUUCUGCCACUGGUCAAGCACAGGAACUGACAUCAAAAGCGAGUCUGUUGGGCACUGAAGCACAUGUCCUUUCUUCUCUUGCUGGGCUUCCUCAUGGCUUGUUGGUCCAAGAACAGACAAUACCAAGAAGAUCCUAGAAGAGGCUAAGCCACAUAGGAUGCAAUUCCAAACUGAAAAGUCACUCUUUCCAGGAGAAGAGUGGGCAGUGGGCAGAGAGAAGCCAGGACCAGGAGACUAAUUUUGAUAGAGGUACGUCUAAAAACAUUUAAAGAUCAAUACAGAUAGAAAAGUAUAAACAUUUUUUUUUUAGAACAGGGCAUUAUUAAGCUAAGAUAAUUAAUGACAAUAGUAGUUAGGAGUGUGGUCUUUGAAGUCACACAUAACUGGAUUCAAAUCUGAAUUUUGUCAGUUACUAUUUGUGUGACCUUGGAAAGAUUACUUGCUUUAUUUCAGCCUCUGUUUCCACAUCUGUAAAGUGAGAGUGACGUGGUAUGUACAUUGUUACAAUUGUUUCAAGACUCAAAUGAGGUUUAAAAAGUACAGGACACUUAGCACAGUAUCUAUACAUGGUAGGAACUUCAUGAAUGGUGGCUGUUAUUAUUUUCAGUUGUAGGUCAGUUCAAAUGAGAUAAUAUAUGUGAAAAAUAUUUUGUAAAUGAAAAUACUCUGGCUAUGCUCUUGGAACACUUUUUCCUGCCUCCAUAAAAAGCACUUUGACUCUUUCACAAUCUAGUUGUUAGAUUAGUCUUGCCUUACCAGCUGGUGGGCCUAGGACUCUGAUGCAGACUGUGGUUCAAGAGGAGGGAGCAGGUAUAAGUUGGACUCUGCUACAUGUCAGGGCCCACAAGGACCAUUGAGGACAUCCAGGAGAUAGUAGAAGAGAGGGGAAAAAAUAGGUACUAGAACUAAUAAGACUAUAUAAUUGGUUACAUUCCAGAAUGUGUUGGUGUUGCCUUUGGAAUAGGCCAAUGAAAGCAUGUGAAGAUUUUUGAGGCAUCAAUGAAAAGAGCUUGGAUCCCUAAUUUUGGGCAUGGACAGAAAGGGAACCCUACCACACACCUUCAUCUACUUGUUUUCCUCUAACACCACACAUUCAAAUAUAGAUGUCUAGUGUCCAGCCAGGACCUGAAUGGGGACCAUCAUUAUAAAUAUUCUUUAUUCUAACCCUAGCAUCUAGCCCAGUACCAAGAAAUGGUGAAUCAAUAGUAUAUGCUAAAUCAGUACAUUAAUUUAAACAUCAGAGAAUUAUGUGUUCACUUUGGUUGGACCCCUUGUUUCUUAGAUAUUCCUAGGGCAAUCCUGAAUGGCAAGAGCAGAGGCAAUAGAGGAAAGCAAAGGACCACAGGGUUUUGUCACUUCAACCAUCAAAACGAGAGAGAUGCAUGCCAUAGUGAGAAAAAGAGCUAUUCUAAAAUAGAACUGGCUCUCAUACAAGAGAGUGAGCUGUGGGCAGGGUAGAAGGGAGGUGGAGGUGGAGGCAGGGUGGCAUCAAGCAGAAGCUGCAUGACCAUGAGUUGCAUUGAGGACAGUGCAAUAGAGGGAUGCCUGCACAGAGUCAGAGCUGGACUGUAUCACCAUCCCCACCCUUGGCUGAAGCAGAAUUAACUGUGGAUAAGAUUUUCUAAAAAAAACCUCAUUCCUAGGCCCUCUACUUAGAGAUUUUGAUUUUUUUUGAAGAAAAAAAAUAUUUUUUUCUUAUUAUUUUGAGAGAGAGAGAAAGUGUGAGUCAGGGAGGGACAAAGAGAGAGGGAGGGAGGGAGAAUCCCAAGCAGGCUCUGUGCGGUCAGCGCUCUAUCUCACCAACCCUGAGAUCAUGACCUGAGCUGAAGUCCAACGCUUAACCAACUGAGCCACCCAGAUGCCCCAGAAACUUUGAUUUAAUACAUUUGAAUUGUAUCUAAACAUCUUUGAGUUUUAAUUAACAUACAAAAAAUGCACCCAUUAAAGUGCAAAGGUUGAUAAGUUUUAACAUACAUGCAUGCACAUACCUAUCAUAAUCAAGACAGAACAUUUACAUAACUCCCAAAAUUUCCCUUAGAUUCUUUGUGGUCAGUUGUCCCCUUCCCAGUUCCAGGCCUCCAGUGAUCUGCUUUUUGUCACUACAAAUGAGUUUGCCUGGUCUAGAUUUGAUAUAUGGCAUCUAUAGGAUGAACUGUUUUUUUUUUUUUUUUUAAUGUUUAUUUUUUCAAAAGAAAGAGGGAGAGACAGAGUGCAAGUGGGGCAGGGGCAGAGAGAGAGAGAGAGGGAGUCACAGAAUCUGAAGCAGGCUCCAGGCUCUGAGCUGUCAGCACAGAGCCUGACACAGGGCUCGAACCCACGAGAGAUCAUGCCUUGAGCUGAAGUCAGAUGCUCAACCGACUGAGCUACCCAAGUGCCUCUAUAGUAUGAACUCUUAUGUGUCUGGCGUCUUUCCUUUAGCACAAUGUUUUUGAGGUUCAUUCAUAUUUCCAGGUGUAUCAGUAGUUCUUUUUUUUGCUGUGUAAUAUUCUAUUACAUAGAUAUUCCACAAUUUAUUUAUGCAUUAAUUCAUUGAUAGGUUUAUGUGUUGUUUUGAAUUUUUGCCUGUGAUGAAUAAUAUUGCCAUUAACGUUUCUAUGCAUGUCUUUGUGUGGACCUUUUCAUUUCACUUGGUGAAAAACCUGGGAGUAGGAUUAUUACAUUGUAUAGUAAAAUCUAUAUAGCUUUAAAAAACUAUAAGAUUUUUUCCCAAAGUAGUUGUAUCAGUUACAAUUCCUGCCAAUAAUAUGUGGCAUUUCCAGUUGCUCUACAUUCUUGCCAAUACAUGGCCUUGUCAUUCUUUCUAAUUUUAUCUAUUUAAUUAAGUAUGUAGUAGAAUCUUAUUGUGGUUUUAAUUUUUGUUUUUCUUAUGACUAAUUAUGUUGAACAUCCUUUUGUGUGCCUGUUAGCCAUUUGCAUAUCCAUUUUUCUGAUGUGUCUUUCAAUCUUUUGCCCAUUAUUUAUUGAAUUGUCUUCUUGUUAAGUUUUAAAAGUCCUUCGUAUAUUCUGGGUACAAAUCCUUUGUCAGAUGUAAGUAUUAGAAAAUUUUAUCCCUGUCACUGUCUUCCCUUUAAAAUUUUCUUAAUAGUGUUUAUUAUAGGCUGAAUCAAAUACACCCAAAAUUUAUAUGUUGAAGUGUACUCCAAGUGCCUCAGAAUGUGACAAUAUUUAGAGAUAGGCUCUUUAAAGAAGUGAUUAAAUUAAAAUGCAACAAUUAGGGUAGAUCCUAUUCCAAUUUGACUGGUGUCUGUACAAAAAGAGGAAAUUUGGACAUACGUGGAGACACCUAGAAGGCACAGAUACAGAGGGAAGACCAUGUGAGGACACAGCAAGAAGGCAGCCAUCUGCAAGCCAAGGAGAGAGGUCUCGGAAGAAAUCAAAACUACUGACACCUUGAUCUUGGCCUUCUAGCCUCGAGAACUGUGGGAAAUAAACUUCUGUUUUUUAAGCCACCCGGUCUGUGGUAUUUUGUUAUGGCAGUCAUAGCAAACUAACAUAAUAUCUUUCAAAGAAUAAAUGUUUUCAAUUUUGA